rnacentral:rRNA from 1 species
GCGAACGCUGGCGGCAGGCCUAACACAUGCAAGUCGAACGAACUCUUCGGAGUUAGUGGCGGACGGGUGAGUAACACGUGGGAACGUGCCUUUUGGUUCGGAAUAACUCAGGGAAACUUGUGCUAAUACCGAAUGUGCCCUUCGGGGGAAAGAUUUAUCGCCAUUAGAGCGGCCCGCGUCUGAUUAGCUAGUUGGUGAGGUAACGGCUCACCAAGGCGACGAUCAGUAGCUGGUCUGAGAGGAUGACCAGCCACACUGGGACUGAGACACGGCCCAGACUCCUACGGGAGGCAGCAGUGGGGAAUCUUGCGCAAUGGGCGAAAGCCUGACGCGGCCAUGCCGCGUGAAUGAUGAAGGUCUUAGGAUUGUAAAAUUCUUUCACCGGGGACGAUAAUGACGGUACCCGGAGAAGAAGCCCCGGCUAACUUCGUG